AGAGUUUGAUCAUGGCUCAGAAUCAACGCUGGCGGCGCGCUUAACACAUGCAAGUCGCACGAGAAAGGGAGCAAUCCUGAGUAAAGUGGCGUACGGGUGAGUAACACGUGGAUCAUCUACCUUUUAGUGGGGAAUACCCCCGGGAAACUGGGGACAAUACCGCAUAAGCUCGAAAGAGGAAAGCAGCAAUGCGCUGAAAGAGGAGUCCGCGGCCGAUUAUGCUAGUUGGCGGGGUAAUGGCCCACCAAGGCGAAGAUCGGUAGCCGGCCUGAGAGGGCUCACGGCCACACUGGCACUGAAACACGGGCCAGACUCCUACGGGAGGCAGCAGUGGGGAAUCUUGCACAAUGGGGGAAACCCUGAUGCAGCGACGCCGCGUGAGUGAUGAAGCCCUUCGGGGUGUAAAGCUCUUUCGACAGGAACGAUAAUGACGGUACCUGAAGAAGAAGCUGCGGCUAACUACGUGCCAGCAGCCGCGGUAAUACGUAGGCAGCAAGCGUUGUUCGGAAUUACUGGGCGUAAAGAGUGUGUAGGCGGUGCUCUAAGUUUGGUGUGAAAUCUCCCGGCUCAACUGGGAGGGUGCAUCGAAAACUGGAGUGCUCGAGGGUGGGAGAGGUAAGCGGAAUUCCUGGUGUAGCGGUGAAAUGCGUAGAUAUCAGGAGGAACACCUGUGGUGUAGACAGCUUACUGGACCACUUCU
rnacentral:rRNA from 1 species